ACUUUAAUUGAAGAGUUUGAUCAUGGCUCAGAUUGAACGCUGGCGGCAGGCCUAACACAUGCAAGUCGAGCGGUAACAGAAA
rnacentral:rRNA from 1 species